ACGACCUCAAUCAGACGAACAACCCGCUGAAUUAAGCAUAUACUAAGCGAGGAAAAGAAACUAACAAGGAUCCCUUAGUACGCGAGCGAAGAGGGAAGAGCCCAGCGCCGAAUCCCCGUCCGACAGGCGGCGUGGAAAUGUGCGUACGAAGACGCUUUGCCCGGUGCCGAUCGGGGCCCAAGUCCUCUGAUCGAGCCCCAUCCACGGACGGUUGAGCCGUGGCGCCCCUGUCGCGCCGGGUCGUCUUCUCGAGUCGGGUUGUUGGGAAUGCAGCCCAAAGUGGUGGUAAACCCAUCUAAGCUAAAUACCGCACGAGACCGAUAGACACAAUACCGUAAGGAAAGUGAAAAGAACUUGAAGAGAGAUCAACAGGGCGUGAAACCGUAAGAGUAAACGGUGGGUCCGCGCAGUCUGCCCGGGGAUUCAACUCGGCGGGCCCGGGACGCCGCCGUGGGAGGAUCCCCUCGCGGACCUCCCCCGCUGCCGGCUGGCCCCCCGCCGGCGCAUUUCCUCCGCGCGUGCGUCGCACCGGCUCCGGUUCGCCAGGAAGGUCUGGGCGAAGGCUCGCGCCUCGGCCGCGAGCUUACAGCGCCUCUCGCCCGGAAUUCGCCGCUUACCGGGCGCGGACUCUGUGCUCGCUGCCCCUCUCUCCCCCUAACCCGGGAGGACGGGCCCCCUCGCUCCCGCGCGACUGUCGACCGGGCGGACUGUCCUCAGUGCGCUCCAACCGCGUCGCGCCGCCAGCGGGGAUCGCCCACGCCAAAGCGCAACGGUCUGCGCGAUGUCGGCUACCCACCCGACCCGUCUGAAACACGGACCAAGGAGUCUAACGCGCGCGCGAGUCAAAGGUCUCACGAAACCCCGAGGCGCAAUGAAAUGAGGCGGCCCGCCAGCUGAGUGGAUCCCGGCCCCCGCGCCCGGCGCACCACCGCCCGUCUCGCCCGCUCCGUCGGAGUGGAGCUGAGCGCGUGCGAUAGGACCCGAAAGAUGUGAACUAUGCCUGGCAGGCGAAGCCAGAGAAACUCUGUGAGCCCGUAGCGGUCCUGACGUGCAAAUCGUCGUCCGACCUGGUAUAGGGCAAAGACUAAUCGAACCAUCUAGUACUGGUUCCCUCCGAAGUUCCCUCAGAUAGCUGCGCUCAAGUCUCGCAGUUUAUCUGGUAAAGCGAAUGAUAGAGUCUUGGGCCGAAACGAUCUCAACCUAUCUCAAACUUAAAUGGUAAGAAGCCCGGCUCGCUGCUUGGAGCCGGCGUGGAAUGCGAGCUGCCCAGUGGCCACUUUGUAACAGAACUGGCGCUGCGGAUAACCGAACGCCGGUAAGGCGCCCGAUGCCGACGCUCAUCAGACCCAGAAAAGUGUUGUUAUAUAGACAGCAGGACGUGCCAUGGAAGUUGGAAUCGCUAAGGAGUGUAACAACUCACCUGCCGAAUCAACUAGCCCUGAAAAUGGAUGCGCUGGAGCGUCGGCCCAUACCCGCCGUCGCCGCAAUAGGAGCCGCGAGGCUACGCCGCACGAUAGGAGGGCCGCCCGGUGAGCACGGAAGCCUAGGCGCGAGCCCGGGUGGAGCCGCCGGGUGCAGAUCUUGGUGUAGUAGCAAAUAUCAAACGAAACUUGAAGCCGAAGUGGAGAAGGUUCCAUGUGAACAGCAUUGAACAUGGUCAGUCGUCCUAAGGAUGGCGAACGCCGUCGGAACGCGGGCGAUGCCUACGUCGCCCCGGCCGAUCGAAAGGAGUCGGUUCAAAUCCCCGAACCUGAGGUGGAAUAGCGCCGCGAGGCCCAGUGCGUAACGCAAACAACCCGAGAAGCUGCGGCCCCGGGAGAUCUCUUUCUUUGUAAGGCAGGCCCCUGGAAUGGUCGCCCCGAAUAGGGCCCUGCCCUGAAAGCGCGCGGUUCCGGCGGCGUCCGUGACUCUCGCUGCCCUUGAAAUCCGGGGAGAAGGUAAGUCUCACCCAGACCGUACCCAUAUCCGCAGCAGUCUCCAAGUGAACAGCCUGGCAUUUAGAACAAGCAGCUAAGGAAGUCGCAAGUCAAUCCGUAACUCGGAUAAGAUUGGCUCUAAGGCUGGUCGGUCGGGCUGGGUGCGAACGGCUGGCCGCGCCGCGCUGGGGAGCAGUCGCCCCGCGCCCUCCUCUCUCCGCCGCCGGAAGCGCGUGCGCGGCCCGCCUCGCGGGCUCGCGUCUGCGCGCCUCGCCGCGUACGGCGUGGUUUUCGCGGCGGUGUCCGCCGCCGCGUGGAAGCGGCCGGCGGGGGAUGCGGUCGCGUGGCUGGCGGCGACUCUGGACGCGCGCCGGCCCUUCUCGCGAUCACCUCAGCUGCGUGCCCGUCGGGUCCCUCGCGGGGCUCCCCGCGGUCGCCUCGCUGGCGCCUACAGCGACUAAACUGUGCGGACCAGGGAAUCCGACUGUUUAAUUAAAACAAGCAUCGCGAAGGCCCACGGUGGUGUUGACCGAUGUGAUUCUGCCCAGUGCUCUGAAUGUCAAAGUGAAGAAAUCAAGAAGCGCGGUAAACGGCGGAGAACAUGACUCUUAAGUACCAAAUCCUCGUCACUAAUAGUGACCGCAUGAAUGAUGAACGAGAUUCCCACUGUCCCAGCUCUAUCUAGCGAAACCACAGCCAAGGAACGGCUGGCAAAAUCAGCGGGAAAGAAGACCCUGUUGAGCUGACUCUAUCUGCACUGUGAAGACAUGAAGUGUAAAAAUGGGAGCUUCGGCCGCCGUGAAAUACCACUACUCUAUCGUUUUCACUUACCCGGUGAGCGGAGGCGAGCCCCGACGGCUCUCGCUCUGUGUCAAGCGCCCGCACCCGCCGGCGGACCCGCUCCGGGACAGUGGCAGGUGGGAUUUGACGGCGGUACACCGUCAAACUGUAACGCAGGUGUCCUAAGCAGCUCAGAGACAGAAACCUCCCGUGGACAGAAGGCAAAAGCCGCUAUCUUGAUUUCAGUAUGAAUACAGACCGUGAAAGCGGGCCUCACAUCCUUCUGACUUUUGGGUUUAAGCAGAGUGUCAGAAAAGUUACCACAGGAAACUGGCUUGUGCGGCCAACGUUCAUACGACGUCGCUUUUGAUCCUUCGAUGUCGCUCUCCUAUCAUUGUGAAGCAGAAUUCACCAAGCGUUGGAUGUCACCCACUAAUAGGAACGUACUGGGUUUAGACCGUCGUGAACAGGUUAUUUUACCCUACUGAUGAGUGUUUGCAAUAGUAUCCUGCUCAGUACGAAGGACCGCAGUUCAGACAUUGGUGUAUGCUUGCUAGGACCAAUGCAAGCUACCAUCUGCGGAUAUACUGAACCUCUAAGUCAGAAUCCUCCUAGACGCAGUGAUACCGUAGCGCUGUGAUCUUCGUUGGUCUCGGAUAGCCGGCCCGCCGUGAAGAGAGCCAUUCGUGACUGGCUGGGGACGGCCCGACGACGUCGCCCUCUCCAAUCGCGCACUCAUGUUUGGAGAACCUGGUGCUAAUAACUUGUAAACGACCUGAUUCUGGUCAGGGUCUGUCGUAGCAGAGCAGCUAAUCGCUGCAUCUAUUGAAAGUCACCCUC
rnacentral:rRNA from 1 species